rnacentral:lncRNA from 1 species
AGAACUUAAAUUUCCUACUUGAUAAUGAACGUAUUUAUACCUGAAAGAUUUUGUUGCUCUGGAUUCAGUCCCUUAUUUUGUUAUUUUUAUAAUAUAUAUAUUUUCAGGAGAUUCAUCACCUAAAUUUUUCAAGAAGAACCUUACAGAAAUGUUGAAAGGCAUUCUCAGUUUGGAGGUAAAUAUUUUCAUAUUGUUUAUUUGACUGCUUAUACUAUUUAUUUUAAGCAAGUUUGGUCCUUGAAAUAAUUAUUUGUUUCACAAAAUUGAGUUCAGCUAUCAACUUAUUAAACCUUUAACUUUUGCAGUCUAUCCAUAAAAGUCCUUGGAAUAGAGCUUGAUGCAUAUGAUUUAACUUCCAUUGAUCUCUUCCCACCCCAGACUCUCGAACUUCUGAAAUUACAGCCUGUGAAUGAGUAAGAUGCUAUUCCGUUUAUAGAAGUACUUGGAGAAGCAAAAAAUAAUCCGGGACACCUGGUCAAUUUUGCCAUGCAAUCAAAUUUUGGACAUACUUGUUUUACACUGCUGCGUUUGUCACUUGUCCUGAAUGUCAUAUCUGAUGAACUUAUCAUCUUAAUUGCCAAUUCGCUUCCAUUUUUAGUUGAGCUGGAUCUUGAAGACAGAACAAGCAUUGAACCAAAACUGCCUCAUGACUUCACUAACGCUGGGCUACAAUCUCUAGGCUUGUUUCAGCACCUCACCUCUCUGUCAAUUGUAGGCAGUAGACUGAAUUUUCCAGUGUCCUUUAAAAGAGUAAAUGGUUUGGGCUUAAUGCUUCUUUCUUAAGAGUUGCAGAGGCCUAGAGUCUGGGAGACUUGGUGGGUUUUCUACAGUUACUGAUGCAGGGUUUUUGUCCAUUUUAUGCUCUUGCUAUAAUUUGAAGAAAUUUGAAGUUUGCAAUGCACCACUAAUGUCAGACUUGGCUUUUCACGACACCAAUGAGGUCGUCUUACUGAUCUGAGAUUCUUGUCGUGCAACCUCAUAACUAGCAAAGCUGUGGCUGAACUUGCUGCAUCUACUAUAUCGAAGUGCUUGUUCUUAGGGUUGCAGGAGCAUCGCCAACCCCUGUCUCGACUUCAUAUCACUCCUUAGUACACUAACCACGCUAAAUCUAGGAGGAGCUGAUGUCACAUUGGCAAUGGUCUUGCUGUUUUGGGUAAAGGGGACUUACUGAUGAACGUUUGAGUCUUGAGGAUGUGUGAGAGUCACUGAUGGAGGAAUAUUCUCCUUACUCAAUGGUGGGGAGAAAAUCAAGAAGACGUUAUCAUCUCUAGAUAUCGGUCACAUGCCAGGAAUAUUAGAUAGAGGUAUCAAAACCAGGGGUGGACACACUCGACUCGAUUUUCAAAUUUUUGAUUUUUCUUGAGGUUUUUCAAGUUUUUCAGGUUUUUUCCUAUGAUUUUUUGGUUUCGCCUCCACUGAAUUUUCAUCCUGGGUCCGCCUCUGAUCAAAACAAUUGUUUCUAGCUCGAGCAAUUACUGAACCAUAUAUGAGGUAUUGCUUUCGUGUGACUAAGGCUGCUUUGAAAAUGUUGGCUUCUGAGAAAUCCAAUAGAAUUAAUUUGCUUCAAAGACUUGACCUUUGUCAUUGCAUGAGGUUCUCAAUUGUGCUGAUGGAAUUAUUGCAGGACAGUUCGUUUCGUGGCUUGCGAUGGCUUGGAUUUGGCAGCACUUCUUUGGUUACUGCAAGGGAUAAUUACAGAGUAAUAUGCACAAAGAGAUCGUGGCUGACUCUCUGUUUUGAGGACUCUGAAGUUGGAUGUCAUGAUGGAUGGCAAUUACGCCAUUCUAAUGGCACGUCUUGAUUCUCUGGUUUGCUUCUCCCCCAUUAGAAAUUUAGGGUCCAUUUGAUUGUGAAGAUGGAAUUUGGGUGGAAAGAAAAUGAAUUCCAGGGAAUUGAAUUGCUUAGAAACAGUUUUCUUAAGAAUUGUAAAUUAUUGUGUUUGAUUGAUAUAAUUUUCCACGUGGAAUUCGUUGAAGUAAAAGUGUCUUUUGGUGUUCGUUUGACUUUGUUUUAUAUGAAAAUUGUCAAUUAAAGUGAUAGAUU